rnacentral:rRNA from 1 species
GGCAGCAGUGAGGAAUAUUGGUCAAUGGGCGCGAGCCUGAACCAGCCAAGUAGCGUGCAGGACGACGGCCCUAUGGGUUGUAAACUGCUUUUAUACGGGGAUAAAGUAUGCCACGUGUGGUUUAUUGCAGGUACCGUAUGAAUAAGGACCGGCUAAUUCCGUGCCAGCAGCCGCGGUAAUA